GGCAAAUACGAGUAGAGCAUUAUGAAAGUACCAGUGAGACAAGACGGCAAUGGAGAGGAAGAUAGGUAUCAUUGGAGCAGGUGUAAGUGGCCUCCUUGCCUGUAAAUACAUCUUAUCUAAAGGUUUUCAUCCAAUUGUUUUUGAAUCCCAAAGCUCCAUUGGAGGGGUUUGGACCAAAGCGCUUGAGACUACAAAGCUCCAAACUCCCAAGCCAUUUUAUCAGUUCUCUGAUUUUGCUUGGCCAUCAUCUGUCACUGAAUAUUUUCCCGACAAACACGUGGUAUUGAAUUAUGUUGAGGCCUAUGCAAAGCACUUCCACUUGCUUAACCACAUCAACUUCAACACCAAAGUUGCUGGUAUUGAGUAUGAAGGUUCCCGGGAUGAAGAGAUCCAGUCUUGGAGUUUAUGGGGUGGCACUGGCGAGCCUUUCAGCUCCAGAGGCAAGUGGAACCUCAUUGUGGAAGACUUGAAUACUCUUUCAACUGAGAUCUACCAAGUGGACUUUGUAAUCUUUUGUGUGGGACGGUUCAGUGGUCUGCCAAACAUACCAGAAUUCCCCCCAAACAAGGGUCCGGAAGCAUUUCAUGGUGAGGUCAUACAUUCCAUGGACUAUGCAGCCACGGAUGAUGAAAAGGCUGCUGAAUUCAUCAAAGGCAAAAGAGUCAUUGUUGUUGGGUUCCAGAAAUCUGCUUUGGACAUUGCAAUGGAGUGCUGUUCAGCAAAUGGGGUAGAAAACCCAUGUACAGUUUUAUACAGGACAGCACACUGGCAUCUCCCUGAUUAUCUUCCCUGGGGGUUUUCACUGGCAUAUAUGUAUCUUAAUCGGUUCUCAGAGCUUAUGGUUCAUAAGCCUGGUGAAGGGUUUCUCCUCGGUCUCUUGGCCACUAUUCUUACACCACUGAGAUGGGCAUAUUCGAAAUUUGUUGAAAGUGAUAUAAAAAGGAAGCUUCAUUUGGCAAAGCAUGGCAUGGUCCCAACACAUAGCUUCCUCCAUGAAAUCAGUUCUUGCUUGACCUCAACAGUCCCAGAAAAAUUCUAUGACAAAGUUGAAGAUGGAAAAUUAAAUUGAAAAAGGCCCCAAGUUUUAGUUUCUGUGACAAUGGCGUUACGGUGGAAGAUGAGACAGCACCUAUAGAGGCAGACGUGGUGAUUUUGGCCACAGGAUUCAAGGGAGAAAAAAAGCUCAAAGACAUGUUCGUGUCCCAAACCUUUCAAAACUUCAUAGUUGGAUCCCCUGAUGCUGCAACCCCACUCUACAGGGAAUGCAUUCAGCCAAGGAUACCUCAACUAGCUGUAAUAGGAUACUCUGAAAGUAUUGCAAAUUUGUAUACCUCAGAGAUAAGAUGCCGAUGGCUAGCUGAACUUCUUGACGGCACAUUCAAGCUACCAAGCAUAGAAGAGAUGGAAAAGGAUGUGAGAAAAUGGGAUGAAUACUUGAAACAAUACUCGGGUGGAUACUAUCGAAGAAAGUGCAUCGGUGCACUCCAUGUCUGGUACAAUGAUCAACUGUGCAAAGAUAUGGGGUGGAACCCUAGGCGGAAAAAGGGACUGCUUGCUGAAUUCUUUGAACCUUAUGGUCCCUUGGAUUAUGUCCCUUCUUGAACCUGCCUUCUUUUAACCCAUUAGAUGCUGACAAUUGUUACCUUCUUUACUCUUGCAUGUACCAGUUCAUGCUUUGUUUGUUUAUAAUAUAUGGAUGAAUCCAAAUAUAAA